rnacentral:rRNA from 1 species
GGCCGCGGGAAUUCGAUUCAGGCCUAACACAUGCAAGUCGAGCGGUAGAGAGAAGCUUGCUUCUCUUGAGAGCGGCGGACGGGUGAGUAAUGCCUAGGAAUCUGCCUGGUAGUGGGGGAUAACGUCCGGAAACGGACGCUAAUACCGCAUACGUCCUACGGGAGAAAGCAGGGGACCUUCGGGCCUUGCGCUAUCAGAUGAGCCUAGGUCGGAUUAGCUAGUUGGUGGGGUAAUGGCUCACCAAGGCGACGAUCCGUAACUGGUCUGAGAGGAUGAUCAGUCACACUGGAACUGAGACACGGUCCAGACUCCUACGGGAGGCAGCAGUGGGGAAUAUUGGACAAUGGGCGGAA